CCCAUAAGUAAUAAAAGGUCUAUUUAGAUCCCUUAACUUUAUUUAAAGUAUCACUUUGGUCCUUUCUGUUAAUUUAAUUAAAAAAAUGUUAAGUUUAGGGACCAAACUAAUACUAAUUAAAUAAGUUAAGGGAUUAAACUAAUACUAAUUAAAUAAGUUAAGAGACCAAAAUUUAACGUUUUUUGAAUUAAAUUAAGAGAAAGGACCAAAUUGAUACUUUAAAUAAAGUUAGCGGAUCUAAAUGGACUUUUUAUUACUUAUGGGA
rfam:Medicago truncatula strain A17 chromosome 8, whole genome shotgun sequence.